rnacentral:rRNA from 1 species
AUUGAACGCUGGCGGCAGGCCUAACACAUGCAAGUCGAGCGGCGCGGCGGACGGGUGAGUAAUGCCUAGUAAUCUGCCUGGUGGUGGGGGAUGACGUCCGGAAACGGGCGCUAAUACCGCAUGCUAACAUAGGAGCGUAGGGGGGAUUAACUAGUGGGUGGGGUAAAGGCCUACCAAGGCGACGAUCCGUAACUGGUCUGAGAGGAUGAUCAGUCACACUGGAACUGAGACACAGUCCAGACGCCUACGGGAGGUAGCAGUGGGGAAUAUUGGGGAAUGGGCGCAAGACUGAUCAAGCAACGCGGCGUGAAGGAAGACGGUCGUCGUAUUGUAAACUUCUUGAGACAGGGACGCGGUACCUGUAGAAUAAGCCACGGCUAACUACGUGCCAGCAGCCGCGGUAAUAC